rnacentral:rRNA from 1 species
GUGUAACAACUCACCUGCCGAAUGCAUUUGCCCUGAAAAUGGAUGGCGCUUAAGCACGUGGCCGAUACACCGCCGCUGAGGACGAAGCGUAUGUCUCAGUGAGUAGGAGGGCGUCGGGCUCGUGUAGAAGCUUAGAGCGUGAGCUUGAGUGGAACGGGCUCGAGUGCAGAUCUUGGUGGGAGUAGCGUAUAUUCAAGCGAGAACCUUGAAGACUGGAGUGGAGAAGGGUUCCAUGCAAACUACAAUUGGACAUGGGUGAGUCGAUCCUAAGAGAUGGGGUAAUUCCGUAAAAAAGUGUGUUGCACACUGUUUAUCGAAAGGGAAACGGGUUAAUAUUCCCGUACCAGGAAACGGAGUGUAUGCGGUAACGCAAAUGAACUCGGGGACACCAGCAUAGACUCUAGGGAGAGUUCUCUUUUCUAUUUAACAGUUUUAGUUACCAUGGAAGCGGGUUGUCCGGAGAAGUGGUACUGCUUCUGGAAGAACGGUGUCUUCGUAUAUCGUCUGGUUUGUUUAUGUUGGUCCGUGAAAACCCGGGGGAAAGAUAGACUUUCGUACCUGCUCGUACCCAGAACCGCAUCAGGUCUCCAAGGUGA